rnacentral:rRNA from 1 species
AGAGUUUGAUCAUGGCUCAGGACGAACGCUGGCGGCGUGCCUAAUACAUGCAAGUCGAGCGAACAGAGAAGGAGCUUGCUCCUUCGACGUUAGCGGCGGACGGGUGAGUAACACGUGGGCAACCUACCCUAUAGUUUGGGAUAACUCCGGGAAACCGGGGCUAAUACCGAAUAAUCUAUUUCACCUCAUGGUGAAAUACUGAAAGACGGUCUCGGCUGUCGCUAUAGGAUGGGCCCGCGGCGCAUUAGCUAGUUGGUGAGGUAACGGCUCACCAAGGCGACGAUGCGUAGCCGACCUGAGAGGGUGAUCGGCCACACUGGGACUGAGACACGGCCCAGACUCCUACGGGAGGCAGCAGUAGGGAAUCUUCCGCAAUGGACGAAAGUCUGACGGAGCAACGCCGCGUGAGUGAUGAAGGCUUUCGGGUCGUAAAACUCUGUUGUAAGGGAAGAAUAAGUACAGUAGUAACUGGCUGUACCUUGACGGUACCUUAUUAGAAAGCCACGGCUAACUACGUGCCAGCAGCCGCGGUAAUACGUAGGUGGCAAGCGUUGUCCGGAAUUAUUGGGCGUAAAGCGCGCGCAGGUGGUUUCUUAAGUCUGAUGUGAAAGCCCACGGCUCAACCGUGGAGGGUCAUUGGAAACUGGGAGACUUGAGUGCAGAAGAGGAUAGUGGAAUUCCAAGUGUAGCGGUGAAAUGCGUAGAGAUUUGGAGGAACACCAGUGGCGAAGGCGACUAUCUGGUCUGUAACUGACGCUGAGGAGCGAAAGCGUGGGGAGCGAACAGGAUUAGAUACCCCUGGUAGU